rnacentral:lncRNA from 1 species
GGAACUAGAAACUUUCUGUCAGUGUAACGUCCGCGUGGGUGGUGACCCAAUGAUGGUUGGGCUUCGGGUCACGUGACAGCCUCAUUGUAGCUCCGGAAGAGAACGUGAAGUUUAGGUUGCCUGGAAGAAGCAGUAAUAAGGAGACUGAAAGGGAGAACAAAAAAAAUCAAGAUUUUGGGGAAAUUACCCACAGAGAUGCAAGCCCGCCCCUCCCAUCACAGGUGUGUCAGUUUGGGCGCUUCUUGGAUUCUACCCUGAGGCGGUGCGUGGUGAGAGGAGAGGUCUGUGUACGUGGGGUGAGGGUCACAGGGUCCAUGAUGCUGGUUGGGGCCCAUAGGGGCCGCCCCGUUGUAGUCCAGGUUCCCCGAGGGGUGGUGGGAAAGGUGAUUGAGGCCGUAGAGGGAGGGGCCGGCAGGGGGCGGCAGCGGAUCCGCGUAGCCACCCCCGCCCACAUACACCGGACUGCCCUGCAUGGUGGGCGUCCCGUAGGCGCCCCCGUUAGCUUGGAGGACGUGGGGCUCAUACUCCGACGCCGGGGUCGGGGGGUACUUCUGUGGGGCG